rnacentral:rRNA from 1 species
GAUGAACGCUAGCUACAGGCUUAACACAUGCAAGUCGAGGGACCGGCGCACGGGUGAGUAACACGUAUCAAACCUGCCCUUUACUCGGGGAUAGCCUUUCGAAAGAAAGAUUAAUACCCGAUAUAAAGGAUGGGGAUGCGUUCCAUUAGGUGGUUGGUGAGGUAACGGCUCUCCACGCCUUCGAUGGAUAGGGGUUUUGAGAGGAAGGUCACUCACAAUGGAACGUAGACACGGGCCAAACUCCUACGGGAGGCAGAAGUGAGGAAUAUUGGUCAAUGGGCGCUAGACUGAACCAGCCAAGUAGCGUGAAGGAUGAAGGCUUAUGAGUCGUAAACUUCUUUUAUAUAAUAGUAUGUAUUAUAUGGAUAAGGAUCGGCUAACUCCGUGCCAGCCGCCGCGGUAAUUC